GACGACGCUGGCGGCGUGCUUAACACAUGCAAGUCAAGGAGAACAUUUCCUUCGGGAAAUUAUUAAACUGGCGAACGGGUGAGUAACGCGUAGGCAACCUGCCCUAGAGAUUGGGAUAACUCCGGGAAACCGGUGCUAAUACCGAAUAAUGCAGCGGAUCCUUCGGGAUACAGUUGUUAAAGCGGGCUUCGGCUCGCACUUUAGGAUGGGCCUGCGUCCGAUUAGCUUGUUGGUAGGGUAACGGCUUACCAAGGCGAUGAUCGGUAGCUGGUCUGAGAGGAUGAUCAGCCACACUGGGAUUGAGAUACGGCCCAGACUCCUACGGGAGGCAGCAGUGGGGAAUUUUGCGCAAUGGGGGAAACCCUGACGCAGCAACGCCGCGUGACCGAUGAAGCUUCUAGGAGCGUAAAGGUCUGUCGUAAGGGAAGAAAAGUUUGGAUGUAAAUAAUGUUCGAACCUGACGGUACCUUACAAGAAAGCACCGGCUAACUUAGUGCCAGCAGCCGCGGUAAUACUAGGGGUGCGAGCGUUGUCCGGAAUCAUUGGGCGUAAAGGGUCCGUAGGCGUCCCAAAAAGUCAUUUGUUAAAUACACCGGCUUAACCGGUGGCCUGCAUUUGAAACUGUUGGGAUAGAGUAUAGGAGAGGAAAGUGGAAUUCCUGGUGUAGCGGUGACAUGCGUAGAUAUCAGGAGGAACACCAAUGGCGAAGGCAGCUUUCUGGCCUAUUACUGACGCUGAGGGACGAAAGCGUGGGGAGCGAACAGGAUUAGAUACCCUGGUAGUCCACGCCGUAAACGAUGAGUACUUGGUGUCGGGGGAAUCGACCCCCUCGGUACCGGAGCUAACGCAUUAAGUACUCCGCCUGGGAACUACGACCGCAAGUGAAU
rnacentral:rRNA from 1 species